ACAUCAUUAUCUAAUGUACAUGUAUGAAGACAAGAAUUUGUGUGAACAUACUAUGUAUAGAACCAGAGGUAUGAAAAAUUGUGUUGUAGAUGUAUAACAUGAAGUGUAGUGCAUUCUGCUGUCAUUUAUUUCAAAAACAUUAAAAAAAAAAAAAGAAAUAGAUAGCCGAAUAGUCUCUGCCAGGCAUCCAGGGAUGGCUUGGCUGUGGUCUGGAGAGAUGCUGGUCACAGGAGACCAAAUUACACUUAGAUGGGAGGGAUGAGUUUAAAGGAUCUACUGUGCAAAAUAAUAACAACAUACAACAUACAACAGAAUGACUACAGUUGAUAAUGUUUUAUACACUUGAAAAUGACUGAGAUAGUAGAUUUUAAGGGUUCUCACCACAAAUAAGUAUAUGAGAGUAAUAUAUAUGUUCAAUAGUUUGACUCAGCCAUUUUUCAGUAUAUACAUGGUUCAAAAUAUGUUGUAUGCCAUAAAAAUGUACAAGUUAUCAUCAUCAUCAUCACCAUCAAGGAUUGAACCCAGGGUUGCUUAACCAUUGAGUCACAUCCCCAACACAUUUUAUUUUUUAUUUUGAGACAGAACUGUGUCAUAAAACCCACCCUGGAAAUGAGGUAAACUGGGAAGUUAUUUAGUUGUAUAAAUUAAUACCUCCUUCCCCAAAUUGGAACUCUGUUAAAAGAAAAAGAAAGAAAGAUAGGAUGAGCAAUGAGCACUGUCUGCUUUAAUUAGCGCUUGGCUUGAAAGGGAGAUAACUAUCACCAAACUUCUCCCAUGCCAUCUCCCCAGGAACCAUAUUACAUGGUCUCUGUAUUAGCCUGCAUUCUCUGGAUCUAACAAAAUACCCAAGAAUGGGUACUUUAUAAAGAGAUGAGGUUUAUUUAGCUCAGAGUCCAACAACUGGCAGCCAUUAUGACUGACCUUUGGUAAGAGUGAUCACAACAUGGUGAAUGGCAUCAUGGUGGGAGGACAUGCAAUGGGUAGAGACUGCAGGGCCAGAAACCGGGGAGGGAUAAGUCUCAUUCUUUUUAUAACAACCCCCUCUCACAGGAACUAAUGGAGGCCCAUGAGAAGUCCAUUAGUCCCUUCUAAAGGCCUCAUCCCCAAUCACCAAAUUACCUCCUACUAGGCCCCAUCUCUUGCAGGUGCUGCCACACCAAGGACCAAGCCUCAAGCCCAUGAACCUUUGGGGGACAAACCACAUCCCAUCCUCACAAGCUCCAACAAAGCCACCAUUGUAAGAGCAGGAUGUCCCAGUCUACAAGUGUGUAUGUAAGGAUGGGGGAGGGUUGAAGCAGCCAGAGCCCCUAUUCCAGAACUUCUCUGAUGUCACACUUGUAGUCAUGGUACUCUGGGUGCCAAGCCAGGAGAAGGAGUGGUUGGCUCUCAUUUGUUUGAGAACAGGCAUCAGAGCAUGACUGCUUCAAAUGGUUUUUUGUCCCCACCCGCACCCCGCCCCUAGCCAGAUCCUGGCUAUUCUCAAGGCUUUGGGCUUGUUUGACUAUGGCAGCACUGGUCUCUCUGAGCACCGUGUUCUUCACUUUCCCGUGAGUCUCCAUGCCAGCUGUCGGGCUUCUCACCAAGAGACAGAUGGGAAAUAGACAGUGAGAGUGCAGAGGCAGGGAAGUGAAGGGAGGCCAAGCGGGGAAGGAGGAUAUUUAGUUAAAAGCACAGAGAUGUGGAGAGCCUGAGGCUUUCAGGGAACUAUGGGAGGCUGGUAAUGCUGGUGACAUUUGGUGGAGGGAAUGGGGUCUGUCUCUAGCUGGGAUAUUCAGAUCUGCCCUUAAGGUGUGUGAGUCUGACCUCAGGUGAGCAGGGCCUCAUGGGGGCUCUGGGACUAGAACUGACUCUGGUCCUGGUUUCAGAUGCUGAGCACUGGCCUAAAAUGGAGACUGGAUCUUUCCAGUGGCCUCAGGCCUUCUCUGCCUCCUCAUUUUGUACAGCCUCAUUUCCAUGAAUGUGUCGGAUCCAGUCAUCUUACACAGAGGCGCCUUCAAGCAGGACACUGAGGCUCUCUACAUGGCACGAGCGAAUGGCAGCUUAUACCAAAUGCCAUGGUGUCUCACCUGUUAUUUUCACCACCUGCCCCGAACCUUCCACUUCAAAAGCUGUGACAUCUGUGUGGAGCAUGAUAACCCAUUCAAUGAGGGCUGCACAAGAAACUGUUACCUCACAUUAUGCGCACCCUUGGGACCCAAGUACACGUCAGAGGCUGAGUGCCUUCAGGUGGAGCAGGGCACCAACUGGGGACCAACACAAUAUCUUAAAGACCUCCUUUGGCCCAGAUCCGCAACUCAGGCCCUCCCAAGGUGUGGCAAGUCUGCACCCUUACAGAAGGGCAUACCAGAGCACUGGGCUCCAUUGGCACAAACCUCAUUGGCACAAACCUCAUUGGCACAGUGUCCCCAAAGGAAAGCAAAAGGAGAAUCCUCAAGCUGUGCCAGGUGUCUUAAAGUUCUAUGACUUCAACACAGUAAAGCAGAAAAAAAUCUCUGUUUUACUCCUCCUGCUGAAAACCAAGAAGUCAGAACCAUCAGCAGUAGUAACAGAGGAAGAUGAUGGUGAUGUAGAGGGGAGGCCUGUCAUUGCCCCAUGACCAGAUCAUACAAAAUCAGUUUUCUGGUUCAGUUUUUACUACUAUUGAUGUGACUCUGGAACAAAAGGUUGCAAUUAAACACAUUUAUAUACAGAAAUAUCCUUGGAAGGACCUGAUCCCCAAUGAGCUUUUGGUGAUGAAAGAAUUAAAGAUUCCCAACAUAAUUAACUUACUGGACAGAGAUGACUUGUUUGUAGUGACCGAGUACCUUGCUAGUGGGCCACUGACUGAUGUUGUAACAGAAACCUGCAUGGAUGAGGCGCAGAUUGCUGCUAUGUGCAUAGAGGUGAGUUUUCUAUCUUUGGGAUAAAGCAGGGUGUGAUGUGUGGUCAGCAAGAAAUGAAUUAAAGGAAAGUUUUUCUGCACAGGGAAUUUCUGCAAUGUGUACUGUUUCAUCUCUGAUGAGAGUUUCAGGCCUUCAUGUGUAGGAUACCUUGGGAAUGGGAUUUAGGCCCUUUUCUGUAUGUGUGUGUGUUAUUGGGGAUUCAAUCCAGGGGUGCUCCAUCACUGAGCUACAACUCCAGUUCUUCUUAUUUUUUUUUAAAUUUUUGAGACAAUCUCAAAGUUGCCUCGAACUUGUGAUUCUCCUACUUCCACCUCUGGUGUAGCUGGGGUUACAUGCAUGCCUAGUUAAAGUCUUUGAAGAACUAAAUUCACUGCAAAUCUCUUUAUAGUCAUCACAAUAGUUUAUCAUCCAGACAAUGCACUUUUGAGAAUAAAAGGGGGGGGGUGCUUUUAAAAAUAUACUACUCAGCCAGGUGUGGUGGUGCCUGAUGUAAUCCCAGUUACUCAGGAGGCUGAGACAGGAGGAUUGCAAG